GUGUGUUCCAGGUAAAUCCGGUUCACUUUAACACUGAGGCGUGAUGACGAGGCACCACGGUGCUGAAGCAACAAAUGCCCUGCUUCCAGGAAAAGCCUCUAAGCAUCAGGUAACAUCAAAUCGUACCCCAAACCGACACAGGUGGUCAGGUAGAGAAUACCAAGGCGCUUGAGAGAACUCGGGUGAAGGAACUAGGCAAAAUGGUGCCGUAACUUCGGGAGAAGGCACGCUGACACGUAGGUGAAGUGAUUUACUCAUGGAGCUGAAGUCAGUCGAAGAUACCAGCUGGCUGCAACUGUUUAUUAAAAACACAGCACUGUGCAAACACGAAAGUGGACGUAUACGGUGUGACGCCUGCCCGGUGCCGGAAGGUUAAUUGAUGGGGUCAGCGCAAGCGAAGCUCCUGAUCGAAGCCCCGGUAAACGGCGGCCGUAACUAUAACGGUCCUAAGGUAGCGAAAUUCCUUGUCGGGUAAGUUCCGACCUGCACGAAUGGCGUAAUGAUGGCCAGGCUGUCUCCACCCGAGACUCAGUGAAAUUGAACUCGCUGUGAAGAUGCAGUGUACCCGCGGCAAGACGGAAAGACCCCGUGAACCUUUACUAUAGCUUGACACUGAACAUUGAGCCUUGAUGUGUAGGAUAGGUGGGAGGCUUUGAAGCGUGGACGCCAGUCUGCGUGGAGCCGACCUUGAAAUACCACCCUUUAAUGUUUGAUGUUCUAACGUGGACCCGUAAUCCGGGUUGCGGACAGUGUCUGGUGGGUAGUUUGACUGGGGCGGUCUCCUCCUAAAGAGUAACGGAGGAGCACGAAGGUUGGCUAAUCCUGGUCGGACAUCAGGAGGUUAGUGCAAUGGCAUAAGCCAGCUUGACUGCGAGCGUGACGGCGCGAGCAGGUGCGAAAGCAGGUCAUAGUGAUCCGGUGGUUCUGAAUGGAAGGGCCAUCGCUCAACGGAUAAAAGGUACUCCGGGGAUAACAGGCUGAUACCGCCCAAGAGUUCAUAUCGACGGCGGUGUUUGGCACCUCGAUGUCGGCUCAUCACAUCCUGGGGCUGAAGUAGGUCCCAAGGGUAUGGCUGUUCGCCAUUUAAAGUGGUACGCGAGCUGGGUUUAGAACGUCGUGAGACAGUUCGGUCCCUAUCUGCCGUGGGCGCUGGAAGACUGAGGGGGGCUGCUCCUAGUACGAGAGGACCGGAGUGGACGCAUCACUGGUGUUCGGGUUGUCAUGCCAAUGGCACUGCCCGGUAGCUAAAUGCGGAAAAGAUAAGUGCUGAAAGCAUCUAAGCACGAAACUUGCCCCGAGAUGAGUCUUCCCUGAGACCUUGAGUCUCCUGAAGGAACGUUAAAGACGAUGACGUUGAUAGGCCGGGUGUGUAAGCGCAGCGAUGCGUUGAGCUAACCGGUACUAAUGAACCGUGAGGCUUAACCUU
rnacentral:rRNA from 1 species